GCUCUUCUGCCACUUCUUCGUCACUUGAAUCAGUAUCAUGUUCACUUUCAACUUCACUCAUUUCGAUUAAAUGUGUUAAAAACCGUUACUCAAAACCAAUGGAAGAUGGAAUCUUUUUUGUACUUCCCUCCACGGUACUCAGGGCCUAAGUUGUCUCGUACUGAAGGCGAGGCAGGCUCUACUGCAACAACAACAAGGCACAAUACGUCUCCAAAAUUGUUGUAACACUUGCGGAAAGGAACACUCAAGGUUUUUUAAAAAACCCCUCCAGCCCCCUAUUACAAUGUUGUUAAAGUUAGCUAUUGUGAUAUCGAAGGUGAAAAUUCUGUCACUGAGAGCUGUAUUGAGAAAAUGAAUCGAUAUUUUACGGGGAAGGGGGUCAAAAUUAUGGAAUCAAAAGACAUACUGGGGUCAAACAAGUAUGGAAACGAUGCUAAGAACGGCGGCUCGCAGAAGCCAAAGGCCUAAGCCGACAGGUUUUUAAAACAGAAGUUAAGCGCUAAGGGGUUUAUGGUCAAAAAGUCAGGGAAACAUUAGACCGGUGCCUGAGCCUCCUAGCACUACAUCCCUGCCAAUGAUCUGUGCACUACAUCCUUGCCCCAGGUACAGAUGUGUAAAAUUUUCCAGGGUUUGUCUCCUGAACCCUUUGUCUUCAUGUUCUACCAUGUUUCGCCUUCAAUUUUAGAGUUCUGCCUAAUUCAUCAUUAAAUUGAGGCAAAAUUUUACCAGAUCAAUAUCCAGUCCAGGGCAAAAGAUCUACUACCCCAAAUAGAAAACAUGGAAUUUACACCCUUGGUUUUGGAAACAAAUAUGUCAUAUCCUCAUUCUAAUGUUUUAAAGGCUGAAUUGUUUAUAUUUGUUAUAUAUACCUUUGCUAUUCUAGCAUUGGUUCAUAUAAGCAUGGCCUGUAUCAUUUAAAUUUAUCUUCUUUGCUAUAGUAACAGUGGUUGCCCUUUCAUCCCAAAAUUUCUCUCUUUCAUCCCAAAAUUUCUCUCUUUCAUCCCAAAAUUUCUGGUAGGUUAGUAUUUAUCCCUGUCAACCCGGCCUUUCCCGGAGACGCAGGCUCCAGCCCCCGCCCGCGCAAACCCCACGCAAAAAAGUUUUGCGAGGGCUUUUUUCACCCACGCAGUUGUUUAUAACUACCCUCUCAUUGAAUUCUUUAUAACAACGUCUCACUCUCUAAUGUUUUAACUAAUAACCGCUAUAUAUAUCAAGGUAUUCAUAAAUAACAUCGUGUCAAAGAGAUAAAUGGUUUUUAUAAAUAUCGUUAUAAAAAGGGAAUUUUCGUUUCUUUUGACAUCAAAUGUUAACAAACUAUAGUAUUACCUGUUACAACUAGCAAAGGAAUAGAAAAUGGUUGUGUAGGAAAGGAACAACAGAUAGCGUAAAAUAACAAAAAUGAGAAUUGUUACACCACACUGUCAAGUAUGAAAUUUGUGUUACGAAUACACUCAUUUUUUAAAAGAAGCACGCUAUCAGAAACGACAACUGGGCAACUGGGUUGGGAUUUGUCAACAACAUAGAACGAAUCAUUCACCCUUCCUGAACUCUCUUGUUACUUUCGAUCCGCAUUUCUGCUUCCCUUUAUGCUUUGAGGUUUAUGUAUAUGUUAUUCGCCGACUUUUAUCAGAUAUCUCUUUUGUCAUUUUAAGGAGUAGUAAUGCACACAAAACAACUGUCUUCUUAAGAUAAAUCAUGUUUACAAGUAGAUAGUAAUAUAUUUUUAGUAGAUAGUAUACUCAGAUAUAAAUAGAUAAACAACAAAUUCUGCAAGGGCUAAAAAGCCCACGCAGCCAAACCAGCAAGGGUUUUUUUAGCCCGCAUGCUUUUUAUUCCCGGAGAGGCCUGUUACAGUAACUUAUUUAGGUUUAUUUCUAUUAUUUGCCUAUAAUUUGCAUCAAAUCAGUAGAUAUAUUUCUUUAUCAUUGCGAUGUCUGCAUUUUCCAUGUGUAAAUACGGCCUACUGAAAUUACUUGAGAUAAAGAAGAUGCACAUUUCUGUUCAGGAUGUAAAAUUAUCUCAAUCAAGACAACAGCUUCUUGUAUAUCACAUCGAUGUGCGUAAUCAAUGCAUCUCACAUUUUGCAUGGAUGCAUGAACUCUUACCUUCAUGAAGUUUUUAUAGCUUUAAAUGUGGAUUUUACUAAAAAACACCUCGGACGUAGCCUUCUUUCCAUAACCUAUAACCAUGUUUUUUGUUACGGAACGCUUUCGGGACACUUCCACGCUUUGGCAUAGAAUUUGAUUUGGUAAUCAAAUGUUCAUAAAAUCUUUGGUUGUCGAAGUUUGGAAGGUUCUCCAAAGACUUCGUCAAACCAACUUUAUCAUCUGAAAACUUAUCGACAUCUAAGCCCACUUCUUCAAAUUCAUCGACAUCAAUUAGUUUCUCUCAGCUUCUGGUGUCGCUCCAUUGACAGCACUGUCAGUAGGACCUGUGUCCCUGCAAGAGUUUUGAAAAAGCUAGGGAUGUCCUUUUUCAUAAAAUCUCCGUGAGUUUCAGUAUUUCCAAUCAUGAUUUCGGCAUAAAUACUUUGAUAACAUGGCGAAGCAGUGAAAAACAAAGUUAACAAGAUGGAUAACAACGGUGUGCGUAACUACAACUACCAGAAUGCAUUGAAUUUUUCAUUUAUUCAAGAAUUUUUUUGCAUACAAAAAGGGUAUUUGGAGGGUACGACCAUUGCAAGAAUAUUGAGCUAAAAAGAUAAAAACUAUGAAGUAACAGGAAAUCCUUAUAUUACAAUCAUACAAUACAUACUAAAAGAUGCGCAGAAAUAAAUUAAAGUGAGGUUUCCACUAUCCUGGGUACCACAGCUACAGAAUCAUGCAAUGGAAAUGGUAUAGGGGAGGAAA